GAGUUUGUAGCUCAGUUGGUAGAGCGCCAGGUUGUGGCUCUGGUGGUCGUGGGUUCGAUCCCCUUCAAACUCCCUA
rnacentral:tRNA from 1 species